rnacentral:lncRNA from 1 species
AUGUUUAUUGACUUUAUUCUUUUUUUUUUUUUACAGUACACUGGUCUUUCCACCAUGCUGCCAACCCUUGAAGCGUUACAGAUCAGCCACAUGUACAGUCCACACAGCACGGGGGGGGCUCCAGCGGGCGUGGAGGUGGACCUGGACGUGAUAGAGGAGUACCUGCAGGAGCACUCAAUGGAGGUCUCGUCUCGCCCGUGCGCACAUUCCAGGAACGAGGAAGAGCGCAGCUUCAGAGGUGAGGGAAGACGGACUUUCCACUGGGAAAGUCACUACAUGUUUUCCACCUUAUUUACAUCACAACCACAAUCACGUUUGCUGGGCAAGUAUGUUCACACAAACGUUAGCCUGAGCACUUCGGAGUGUUGUGUCUUAUGUUUUGUGUGUUUGUGCAGUCGUGAUGUGACAAUUUUCUUCAGGAUAAAGUUUUCUAAAUCCGAAUCUUAUUACCAUUGUGCCCCUGAGCAAGACACUUCACCCUGAGUGUCUCCAGGGGGGGACUGUCCCUGUAACUACUGGUUGUAAGUCACCCUGAUAAAGGAUGUAAAUGUAUUUACAUACAUACACAAUAUACAGAUUAAAAGCAAAACAACUCAAUAUACAGUACAGUCCAAAAGUUUGGACUCACCUUCUCAUUCAAUGUGUUUUCUUUAUUUUCAUGACCAUUUACGUUGGUAGAUUCUCACUGAAGGCAUCAGAACUAUGAAUGGACACAUGUGGAGUUAUGUACUUAACAAAAAAGGUGAAAUAACUUAAAACAUGUUUUAUAUUCUAGUUUCUUUGCUCUGAUUACUGCUUUGCACACUCUUGGUAUUCUCUCGAUGAGCUUCAAGAGGUCGUCACCUGAAAUGGUUCUCCAACAGUCUUGAAGGAGUUCCCAGAGGUGUUUAGCACUUGUUGGUCCAGCUCACCCCAAACCAUCUCGACUGGGUUCAGGUCCGGUGACUGUGGAGACCAGGUCUCCACUUUUUGUUAAGUACAUAACUCCACAUGUGUUCAUUCAUAAUUUUGAUGCCUUCAGUGAGAAUCUACCAACGUAAAUGGUCAUGAAAAUAAAGAAAACACAUUGAAUGAGAAGUUGUGUCCA